AACAAAAUUCCACAGGGUCCAUCCCAAUCUAGAAAUGGAAACUAACCUAUUUAGUCGCGCAGUACUGUCCGCCUAUACAGUAGGCAUUUCGUGGGUACGAGUAAUUGGAGGGGCGCGAAAUUUGACUAAUAAU
ensembl:ncRNA ZK899.9 ncRNA